UCCUCAUGGGUGUUAGUGUGAGGUCUGGCCUGCCCACUGAGUAUUUUGAAGGGCCGCGGUAUAUUAACCGUGCGAAGGUAGCAUAGUCAAUAGUCUCUUAAUUCGAGGCUUGAAUGAACGGUUGGACAUAAGGAAGACUGUCUGCGAUUAGUUGGAGUGAAUUUAACUUUUGUGUGAAAAGGCAUUAAUGCGUUAAAGGGACGAUAAGACCCUAUAAAACUUGAUAAUUUGAUAUUAUGCCUUGUGAUAUGUGAUUAAGUUGAGGUUUAGUAAUUUUAUUUUGCUGGGGCGGCAGGAAUAAAAUUUGUAACUGUUCCUUAUACGAAAUAUUGAUAUAUAGAUAUUGAUCCUAAAAUUUGGUUUAAAAGAUAAAGUUACUUUAGGGAUAACAGCGUUAUUUCUCUUGAGAGUUCAUAUCGACAGAGAUAUUUGCGACCUCGAUGUUGAAUUAAAAUUCUUCCCGGGAGUAGGUGUUCGGAUAAUAGGUCUGUUCGACCUUUGAAAUUUUACAUGAUUUGAGUUCAAACCGGUGUGAG
rnacentral:rRNA from 1 species